rnacentral:rRNA from 1 species
AGCAGACCUGUCCUUAGUACGAGAGGACCGGGAUGGACGAACCUCUGGUGUUCCUGUUGUCGCGCCAGCGGCAAUGCAGGGUAGCUAUGUUUGGAAUGGAUAACCGCUGAAAGCAUCUAAGCGGGAAGCCAACUGCAAGAUUAGAUUUCUCUGGGGCUUCGGCCCCCUAAAGACCCCUCGGAGACUACGAGGUUGAUAGGAAUAAAGUGUUCAUACAGUAAUGUAUUCAGCUUAUAUUUACUAAUAGGUCGUGAGGCUUUUUUAAA